GACUGUUCCGGUGGCCUAGUGGUUAGAGCGUCUGCCUCAGAUGCGGGAUGUCACAAGUUCAAACCCCAGGCGAGUCA